UCCUGGUUUCCCAGGCAGUCCCAUUAGAGUGCUUUCUUACGAAAUUGCAACUAAUGGCAAGGGUUGCGCUCGUUAUAGGACUUAACCCAACAUCUCACGACACGAGCUGACGACAGCCAUGCAGCACCUGUGAAUAUGUCUCUGGUUUCCCAGAGAAAGCUCUAUCUCUAGAGUUGUCAUAAACAUGUCAAACCUAGGUAAGGUUCCUCGCGUAGUGUCGAAUUAAACCACAUGUUCCACCGCUUGUGCGGACCCCCGUCAAUUCCUUUGAGUUUUAAUCUUGCGACCGUACUCCCCAGGCGGAUCACUUAACGCGUUAGCUACGACACUAAUUCUGCAGAGCAGAACUAACGUCUAGUGAUCAUCGUUUACAGCGUGGACUAC
rnacentral:misc_RNA from 1 species